AUGUGUUUGUCAGUUAAAUCAUUUAGUCUUCUUCAGUUUCUUUUCAAGUUAUCAGUUGAUCAGUUUCAUAUUCUUCUCGGUUUCUUUUUCUUCUUCUCAUUUUUAGUUUUCUCACUCACUUCAUUUCUUCUUCAGUUUUAUCAGUUUCUUAGCUCCUCGUCAUUUCAAUUGUUUAGUUUAUCAAUUUCUGUAGUUUCUUCAUCAGUUUGUCAGAUUAGUAUUUUCUUAUUCAUUUCUCUAUUCUUCUCUAGUCCUCUUCUUUCUUUUAAGUUGUGUAUCAGUAUUAAGUUUUCAUUGAAAUUCAUUAUUCUGUUCCUCUGUUUUGAGAUUGCAUGUCCCUUUGCUCAGCUAAAUUAG
rnacentral:rRNA from 1 species